rnacentral:rRNA from 1 species
ACGCACGCCGGCGGCGUGCUUAACACAUGCAAGUCGAACGGAAAGGCCCUGCUUUUGUGGGGUGCUCGAGUGGCGAACGGGUGAGUAACACGUGAGUAACCUGCCCUUGACUUUGGGAUAACUUCAGGAAACUGGGGCUAAUACCGGAUAGGAGCUCCUGCUGCAUGGUGGGGGUUGGAAAGUUUCGGCGGUUGGGGAUGGACUCGCGGCUUAUCAGCUUGUUGGUGGGGUAGUGGCUUACCAAGGCUUUGACGGGUAGCCGGCCUGAGAGGGUGACCGGCCACAUUGGGACUGAGAUACGGCCCAGACUCCUACGGGAGGCAGCAGUGGGGAAUAUUGCACAAUGGGCGGAAGCCUGAUGCAGCAACGCCGCGUGCGGGAUGACGGCCUUCGGGUUGUAAACCGCUUUCGCCUGUGACGAAGCGUGAGUGACGGUAAUGGGUAAAGAAGCACCGGCUAACUACGUG